UACGGAGGGUGCGAGCGUUGUCCGGAAUCAUUGGGCGUAAAGGGCGCGUAGGUGGCCCGGUCAGUUCGUGGUGAAAGCGCGGGGCUCAACCCUGCGUCGGCCAUGAAUACUGCCGCGGCUGGAGCACUGUAGAGGCAGGCGGAAUUCCGGGUGUAGCGGUGGAAUGCGUAGAGAUCCGGAAGAACACCGGUGGCGAAGGCGGCCUGCUGGGGCAGU
rnacentral:rRNA from 1 species